GCAGCGGUGGUUCAGUGGUAGAAUUCCCACCUUUCAUGCAGGAGACCCAGGCUCGACUCCCAGCCAAUGCA
rfam:Loxodonta africana unplaced genomic scaffold scaffold_53, whole genome shotgun sequence.